UACGGGGGGGGCAAGCGUUUGUUCGGAAUUACUGGGCGUAAAGGGCUCGUAGGCGGCCAACUAAGUCAGACGUGAAAUCCCUCGGCUUAACCGGGGAACUGCAUCUGAUACUGGAUGGCUUGAGUUCGGGAGAGGGAUGCGGAAUUCCAGGUGUAGCGGUGAAAUGCGUAGAUAUCUGGAGGAACACCGGUGGCGAAGGCGGCAUCCUGGACCGACACUGACGCUGAGGAGCGAAAGCCAGGGGAGCAAACGGG
rnacentral:rRNA from 1 species